rnacentral:rRNA from 1 species
CGAGCGGCGGACGGGUGAGUAAUGUCUGGGGAGUCUGCCCGAUGGAGGGGGGAUAACUACUGGAAACGGUAGCUAAUACCGCAUAACGUCGCAAGACCAAGUGGGGGGACCUUCGGGCCUCACACCAUCGGAUGAACCCCAGAUGGGAUUAGCUAGUAGGCGGGGUAAUGGCUCACCUAGGCGACGACCCCUAGCUGGUCUGAGAGGAUGACCAGCCACACUGGAACUGAGACACGGUCCAG